AGGGAAAGGGGAAAUAUCGAUAAAACCCACGAAAAACAAAAAGAAAUGGUCGUCACAACCAAAUCGGGUUCAGGAGUCGGUUAUGCAAGGGGAAGGUAUUAGCACCCCUCACAUCCAUCGUACUCGAUGGGACCCAUUUAGUUAGUUUCGUGUUAGAGUGUUAGCGUGAUAUCGUUUGUGAACUUCUAGUUAUCGAGCGAGAAAAAAGAGAGAAAGAAAGGAAAAACUUAAGGUUUUUUAAUAUUAAUGUGCCUGACAAGAUUUCG
rnacentral:lncRNA from 1 species